UCCAGGGAAAGUGAGUAUCUAAUUGGUUUUAUGCUCAUGGCAUUUGUCUGUCUUUUUUCAGUCAUCUCCAUAAUUCAACACCCAGGCACAGAACAAGUGUCACCAGGUUUGAAGUCACAGCUGAGACUGAAGUACGAAUUCAUCAUGUUUUCCAAAGGUUUGACCAUCUGAUCGAUGUGCUUCUCUGUCUCUGGAUCUGUUUUUGUUCAUCACAACCUUCCCCAAAUCUGGCAGUCCUGCUGUGUCUCAGCUGGGUGAGUAGUGCCACUCCUGUCCAGGGGAACUGAGAACCCAAUUGCUUUUAUGCUCAUGACAUUGACCUCUGUUUUCAGUCACCUCAAUAAAUUAAGACCCAGCACAGAACAAGUGGCACCAGGUUUGAAGUCACAGCUGAGACGGAAGUACCUACUCAUCAUAUUUUCCAAAGGAAGAAAAAUCUUUAUGAACCAAUCUGCACCACUAUGGCUUAAGAAAAAAUAAUAAGUGAUCAUGGAAAACAAUGAUCAAUUAUGAGUGAGCAACCACUUGCCUUCUUCCUGGAUGAAUCACAACUAAACCAAUUUAUUGAUUUACAAUCACAAAAUAAAAAUAUAUCUUAUUGAAAAUAUUUUUGCAGGAACUUUUAUCAGCCUUUUGCCUCCAUAAUUUUACUGAAUCUGAUUGCC